CUUUAAAGUGGAAGCGAUGAAUAGUCAUUUGUAUGUGGGCACUUGAAUGGCUUGGAGCGAGUAGUGCAACCGACUCUUUUUUAG
rnacentral:ncRNA from 2 species